GUUCAAACCACUAGGACAGCAUUUGCCACAUUAUUGUUCCACUAAUGAACCACCUCAGUGGCUAGUGUGAGAAACACCAACAGCAGGCCCAUCUCAGAUCUUCACUAUGGCAACUUAUGCAAGAAACUGUUGAAUUAGACCCGUUUCCUAUAGAUGAGAAACCAUACAAGCUGUGAAUGUCAAGAUGUUGUCAUGAAGAGAGAGAGAGAGACAGACUCUCAGUCUUUGCUACCAGUGUCUGAACUUAUCGGUACAUAGUUAUCUUGCCGGUAGCCCCACAUUCCAGGUGGUGGAAAAGCAAAUAUGCGAAUCAAGUUCCAGAAAUAAUCAAUCUUGAUGAUCCCAUUGCUUUUAAGAGAGACAUGCAAGGAAUGCUCUACAAAUAUAGCACAUGGAAUGUGGAAGCUGCUCUAUAAAUAAUAAAUAUUUUGUAUUGUUCUACAACUUUUUCAUAAA
rnacentral:lncRNA from 10 species